ACAGGCAAUGGUCUGAGGCUGGUUUCAUAGAAGUAGUUGUUGACGUGUAAUCAAUAAUAUCGCAGUCAAGAUAUCUGAAAGUGUUCACAGACAGGACAUGUAAACUGUGCAGUCACAUCCUCUGUCAAGACUAUAAGAAGGCAGAGACACACAAAACAGAGCUAUAGCAAGGAGACAUCCAGGUCCUGGUUAUUGUCUAAGGCUGCCUAAAUCAUGAAGACCUACUUGCUUUUCCUUCUAACCAUUGUGGUGGUUACUGCAGCACCUGCCACACCAGUGACAUCAGGCAAACAGAAACUUCAGAGCGUGAUAUUAAAAGAAAUAAUAGAAAAUGUGAAGCACUUGGAUGCCAUCUUAGACAUGACAAAGAAGAAGAUGUUUGUUCAACAAGUAAUAAAACCCGGACACUGCACUCCACAAAACAUCUGCAAAGCAGGGGAGGUUCUAGAGAAACUUAAGGCAGAAGAUCUUGGACUUCAGGAAAAAGGCUGGCUGCUGCCCAGGAAGCUGGUGGCCUUAACAAGAAACAUUCAGUGCAAGAACUCAGCAUCAGAUCACGACAUAGAACUUCAUCAACUUCUAAGUUACAUACAACACUGUGCCCAGGAGAUGAACACUAAGAAUUAGUAUUCAUUUAAUUAUUUUCAUAUUUCUAAUACACAUUAGUGUUUAUUUGCUGAAAAUAAAUUAAAUGUUAAACAUAUAAAAACUAUUGAAGUAAUUAAUAUUGAAUUAUUUACUAUAAAUUUAUACAUUUAUUUAAUUUUCAUGAUUCCUAAAAUGCACAUUUUGUUUUAAUGCCAGAAGAGCGCUUCUCUUUUUUCAUCUUAAUGCAAAUGUUUGUCUAUAAAAACUAUGACUGUUAACUCAGUUUAACAUUAUUGUGUUUCACUUGAAAAAUAUUCGAUGCAAUAACUUGUCAGAUAAAGUAGAGCUUCAUAAACUUCUGAUUAACAUACAACUGCAAAGCAUUACUAUUUAUUGACAUGUAUGAAAUAAAAGAACAUUAUACGUAUAUAAAACUAAGCAUGAGCUGACUUUGUAAUAAAUGUUUUAAAUAAAUACUUGUAAUCCAUUCAGGACUAUAUGGGGUUCAGAACAAUACAUGUAAACACAUGAAAUAAAAGUCAUGCUUUUUCACUGC
ensembl:lncRNA